rnacentral:rRNA from 1 species
AGAGAUGUGUGAUGACGCAUAUCAAUAAGCGGAGGAAAAGAAACUAACAAGGAUUCCCUAGUAACGGCGAGUGAAGCGGGAAGAGCUCAAAUUUGAAAUCUUAAAGGUUUCCCUUGACGAAUUGUAGUUUAUAGAAGUGUUUUCUGUUAGUAGAGUGGCAAAAGUUCUUUGGAAUAGGACAUCAUAGAGGGUGAGAAUCCCGUAUUUGGUCAUUCCUUCUAGCGUUGUGAUACACUUUCAACGAGUCGGAUUGUUUGGGAAUGCAGUCCAAAAUGGGUGGUAAAUUUCAUCUAAAGCUAAAUAUUGGCGAGAGACCGAUAGCGAACAAGUACCGUGAGGGAAAGAUGAAAAGAACUUUGAAAAGAGAGUUAAACAGUACGUGAAAUUGUCAAAAGGGAAGCGUUUGACACCAGUGUUGUUUUUCCGAAAAUCAAUUACGAAUGUUUUGAUUUUGAGGAGUUAUGACUUCAUCGGCUUGCUUCUCUCUUUAUGAAACUUUCUUAAUGCACUUUUCGGUCAACAAGUCAACAUCAAUUUCUUUUGUUGUAAAAGGGUAUGAGGAAGGUGGCUUUCUUUUCGGAGAAAGUGUUUAUAGCCUUGUAGCCUCUGCAAUCGGAGAGAUUGAGGUCUGCAGCGUAGAUCCUUCGGGGUUAGAUACAUUUGUGCUAAGUUAUAGCUUUUCAUAGACAACUUGUUGACUAUGUUUAGUCUUGUAGCUUACUCGCUUAUGCUAUUUUACCUACGCUUAGGAUGUUGAAGUCAUCGUAUCGCGC